AUGAAUCUCGCCAAGGAGAAGGUGAAGGACGCGGCGAGCGAGGCGAAGGCCAAGGCCAAGAUCACGCAGGCCAAGGUGGCCGAGAAGACGGAGGCGGCGACGGCGAGGUCACACGACGAGCGUGAGCUGGCGCACGAGCGUGGCAAGGCCAAGGUCGCCGCAGCCGAGGCGGAGCUGUACCAGGCCAAGGUGACCCACCGCGAGGAGGCCAUGGAGCACCGCCUCCACAAGCGCGGGCACAAGCACGGCGGCGGUCACUGA
rnacentral:rRNA from 1 species